AGAGAUGCAUUGGGUAUAAAGCGUGCGCAGGUCGGUUUUGUAAGACAGAGGUGACGACCCCCGGGCUCAACCGUGGGAACUGCCUUUGUGACUGCAAGGCUGGAGUGCGGCAGAGGGGGAUGGAAUUCCGCGUGUAGCAGUGAAAUGCGUAGAUAUGCGGAGGAACACCGAUGGCGAAGGCAAUCCCCUGGGCCUGCACUGACGCUCAUGCACGAAAGCGUGGGGAGCAAACA
rnacentral:rRNA from 1 species